rnacentral:rRNA from 1 species
UACGGAGGGUGCGAGCGUUGUCCGGAAUCACUGGGCGUAAAGGGCGCGUAGGUGGCGCGGGCAGUCAACGGUGAAAGUUCGGGCUCAACCCCGAAUCGGCCGUCGAUACUCCCGGGCUUGAGCACUGUAGAGGCUAAUGGAAGUUCCGGGAUGUGAGCGGUGGAAUGCGUAGAGAUCCGGGAAGAACACCGGUGGCGAAGGCGGUUAGCUGG